AGAAGAUCUUUGGUGUGUAGUAAGUACAAAUUCUCUAAAUUUUUGGGUUUUCGGAUAAUUUUAAUUUUUUGGAUAAAAAUUAUUCUAGUAAUUUUAUUUUGUGUAUUUUGGUUUAUAAAUCAUAUUUUUAAAUUGUUUAAUUAUUUUGAAACUAGUUAAUAUUUAUAAUAUAUGUCAUAAAAUUUUUGGGUAUACCAUUUGGUUCGAUUCAGUUCUCGUUCAAUUUCGGUUCUUUGGUUCUAGAGAUAUAAAAUUCCUUUAAAUAAUUGAUAUGAUCCAAACUUGAACCAAAUCUCUUUUUGGUUCUAUUCAGUUUGGUUCUUUGGUUUCAGAUAAAUGUGUCAAAGGCACCUAAUAUAUAAUGAGAAAUUUAUCUAUGUGCAAAUAUAAUUUAUCACUAUAUAAGUCAUAUAUCUUAUAUACACAUAAUCAUUUUUUCUCUUUCUGUAAUAUAUAUAUAUAUAGGAAAUGAUAUGAUUAUCAUUUACUCCUUUAAUAAAAACAUCUUUAAUGGCUAUUCGAAUUCAUUUCUCGUAUUUUUAAGUAUACUAGAGCCGGUGUCCGCGCUUCGCGCGGAUUACAUAUGUAAUUAAAGUAAUGUUUUAUUAAAAUUUGGAGUUUUAGUUUUUGAAAGUGUGAGUUAAGUUUUGUUUUUUUGGAUGUGAAGACGUAGAAACAAAAUAGUUUGACAGUAGAAAUAAGUAAUUGUCCAAAGGGAAUAGAAUCCAGUAGAUAACGAAAAAGAAUUAAAAUAAGAUAAGACGUAAACGAUGUCUGUGAGGUAUAUUAUGAAUGAUCUUGUAGAGCGGCCACUUUCUAUUGCAGGCGGACCUAUAGAUAAAAACAAUUUUGUUAGUACAUCUUAAUUAUUGAGUUUAAAGAGUUUCAGGUGGGCAGACUUACUGGUAGUUUGCAUCUUAUGGUAUAGAAAGUUGUUUAAGAUUCCGGGAAGUCUGCUCUGGGUGAUCAUCGGAUCGUGAUUCUGGAGGAGAGAGAGAAAAUAAUUUAGUAUUUUUGUAUAAUGUUGUGUAUUGGGUUGCAAAUAAUAUUGGAUUACCUGGUAGGUGCGAUAGACCGUUGUAUAUUUAUUUGUAGACAAUGUUUUUAACCCUUCCUAUCUUUUGAUCAUUUCCUUGUAUAAUUUUGAGGCCUGACUUGGUAGUAACUCAGGAAAGACCAACAUAGAACUGUCCAUGGGUGAAAACGGGCUGUGACAAAUACAGUACGACACCUUUCAAACUUUGACCCUGACUUUUGUUAAUUGUCAUUGCGUAACAUAGUCUGAUUGGAAAUUGCCGCAGAUGGAGCUGUUCGGGAAUAAGUAGAAUAAGUAAAUGAAAUUAUUUUGUUGGAGCAAGUAGUCGAGACAUGUCUCUAUUAUAUUUGGGCUUUUAAUAAUUGAAAAAUAUAGAACAUUGCUGGAUUAAGUGAUUUAAUUUUGUGUAUACCUUUCACUUUAUUCCGUACUUCUAGUGGACGUCCGCGUUUACGUUUCGUUGUGUUCAAACUUGAUGACUCUGAUAUUGGUAAGAAAAAUAUUACUAAUAAAUUAAGUUAUGAUUAUAACAAAUAAAAACUAAUAAGAUGUCAAAUAAUUCGAGACUAUGACUUUCCUUGUUUUAAUAUAUGUGAAUUUCCAUAAUAAGAUGUCAAAUAAUUUAAUAUCCGUUUUUUUUGUUUUAAAAUAUUAAGUAAGUUUAAACAUUUAAUUAACAUCUGAGGGUUUGGAUUUUAAGAUCUGAGGUACGUGUAUGGAUACGGAGAGGGUAUGUGGAAGGUCUGUGGGGAUCAUGAAUGGAGGAUUUAUGAGAGCACAUUGAAGUACCAUCACUCUCAUCGGAGGCGUUAUGGGGGAUGAGUUGGGGGAGAGGAAGAGAAUCGCGAAACAGAGCGAGACGCCGCUUAGGGUUAGGGAUGAUGAUUUCAGAGGAAGGGGAGAUAUAACCCGAACCGUAAGAGCGUAUCUGGAUUUGUCUGGGAGUUGGGCUUAAUGGGCUGUGACACAAAAUACAUAUGAAGAGAGGCAGGGAGAUGAGGCUAUGGACUGGGCCGUGAUGAUUUCAUUUUUUUUUUAAUUUCAAGCCCACUUCGUUAUGACCUGGCAUAUUGGUUGGUCCUGAUUAUUUUGCCCAUGUGGAUAGCCUUAGGAAGCUAGAAUUUAGCUUCUUUUAUAUAGUGGGAUAUUUUUCUUCAUAUAAUAUUUUCAUUUCCUAUUAUCUAACAAAAAUAUUUAAAUUCCAUCCAAAUAUUUCUUCUGAUUCAAAUAAUUUAAUAAAAGUAUUUCAAGUAUGUUUGUGUACAUAACUAAUAUGUAACAAUCACAAAAUCAUUGUAACUUCUUCAGUACUACGAGAAGUUAAAUAUCAUCAAUACAGCUUAAUUUUUAGAUUAUUCAAAUAAAAAUAUAGGUCAAAUGUAUGAUAAAAAUAUUUACGAUACUGUAUUAGCAGUUUAUAUACAUUCACCAACCAAUUUAUGAUAUUUACAAUUAAAAUAUGUAUAUUAUAAACAAUAUAAAUAGGUUCAUAAAAAAAUUAUAUAUUCGUAAAUACAAACAAAUAUAUAGUUAAGAAGUAAUUAUCUUAAAGAGUAUAUAUUUAUAAAGAAACAUAAGUAGGAACGAUAGCAAAUCAUCUUUUGGUAAAGUUUUCAUAAAAAUAAAUGAAAAUCAAUAUAUUUUCUAAUAAUAAAUUUAUUAUAGAAACCAAACUAAUCAACAAAAGACGUAAAUAUAAAAUCUUGUUUAUAAAUACAAAACUUGGAUACACUGUGAAUAUAAAGAAAAUAAAUUAAGUAGUAUUUCUUUCUUAUUGUUUUGUAACAUCUGUAUUGAGAAAUAUAUCUAUGUGAAAAUAUUAUCUAUAUAUAAGGCAUAUAUCUUUUCAACCCAUAGUCAUCAUUUCUCUUUCUGUAAUAUAUAUAUAUAUACAUAGUCAUUGUUUCCCUCUCUGUAAUACAUAUAUCUAUAUGCAAAUAUUUAUAUAUACAAGUCAUAUAUCUUUCAUACACAUAGUCAUCGUUUCCCUUUCUGUAAUAUAUAUAUAUAUAUGUGUGUGUGUGUGCGCAAAUAUUAUCUAUAUGUCACAGAUCUUUUUAUACACAUAGUCAUCGUUAAUAUAUAUAUAUAUAUAUAUAUAUAUAUAUAUAUUGUUAGGUUUCAACCUUUUCAUAAAGGUGUUAUACGGUGAAAAGAUUAUUAGAACUGGUGUUUCUUGUUUGGAGUUUGAAUAUAGUGUGUAGCUGCUGGUCAAAGAGAUCACCAAAAUAUAAUCAAGACAAGGUUCAACCUUUUCAUAAGAGGCGUGUUAUACUGUGAGAAGAUUUCUUAUUUGGAAUUCUAAUAUGGUGUGUUGCUGCUUGUCAAAGAGAUCACCAAGACAUAGUCCAGACAAGUAUGUAGAGCGAAUUAUAUAUCUACACUUAAAUAAGACUUUUGUGUGUUUAAUACUCUUCUUAUCAUGCUAAUUGGCACAUUUUUUCUCCCUUCGGAAAAAAAAUAUAUAUUGUUAGGGUUCAACCUCUUCAUAAGAGGUGUUAUACGGUGAGAAGAUUUCUUGUUUGGAAUGUGAAUAUGGCGCGUCGCUGCUGGUCAAAAAGAUCACCAAAAAAUAAUCCAGGCAAGUACAUAGAGUAACUUAUAUCUCUACAUUUUCUAUGUAAUUUGAAUAAGAUUUUUGUGAUUUUAUAUUCUUCUUAUAAUGCUAAUUGGCACACUUGGAAAAAGCGCAGAAGUUUUGACUAUGACUAAGAAAUCCGAUGUAGUUCCAGAAAAGAUUAAUGGACAAUCUAAUAUAGUCCCUAAAAAGGAAGCAAAUCCAGAAAUAAAGCAAACUGAUGAUAAACCUGAAAGGAGGUAGAUAACUUUCAUAUUUUCAGUUUUCCAUUAAUUAAUGAUUAAGGUGCCAGUCAAUUUGUUUCUUGUUGGUUAAUAUACUAUACAUGUGUUUCAACUUUUCUUUGAUAAGUUCAAGUAUACGUGAAGUCGAGUACAAUUUAAGACCUGCGAGUCAGGAGCUCGAGAUAUACAUCCGAAAAGUGAUUUCCAAAUUCGAAGGUAAUAUAAUAUGCAACGUUUUUAAGAAAAAUCACAUAGUUCAGAUAUAUAGAUUUGGUGACAAUAUAUUAGUAUUUUAUAUUGUAGUAAUUAUUUUUUCUAAAUGACGCAUGGUUAGGGGUUGAAAAUUGUGUGGUGGAUAUACAAAACAAAAGAAUUGUGGUCACCGGUGACUUUGAUCAAAAGAAACUGUUUGAAGAGCUUCAGAAAAAGAGGCGUAAGAUAAUAAAGAAAGAUCAUGAAUUAAUUGAGAAAUAUAGACGCAUUCAUGCCCGAGUAAGAAGUGGGGAUGAAAAGGAGAUGGCCAAAUUUGACAUGUCCAAUGAAGAAAAUCCUAAAGGAGCACUGUAUCUUUUUCUCCUUUUUAUUUUUAUUUUCUUAUUUUUUAUAUUUUAUCUUUUUAUUCAUAUAGCUAGUCGAAACAAGUAAUCACCAUAAAGAACUUGGCAUGUUUAAUUGUUUGAUUCACCGCGCUAUGAUAUGAUAAGACAAAUAGAAUAUGUUUUUUAAUUACUUCUUUAGUAUUUUUAUGAUUAAUGAUUAAUGAUUAAUUUUACAUCCUCAUCGUCUUAGUCUAUGUCAAUAUAUAUGAAAAAAGAACAAUAUAAAUAGAUUACACUAUACCAAGCUUAACAUUGUUAACAAAUUCCUUUUUUUGGCACUUGCGAAUAAUACAAACAUCUAUAUUCUUUAAACCAAUAUUAUUUUGCCUUGCUUAUAUAGUUUUCACAUUUACGUAGAUUUUUGAUAAAAAAAAUAUUCAAAACAAAUUAUUCGUGGCCAUCAAAAUAACAUGAAGUCAAAGACUUUUAGAUCACAAACAACCUGGCGUCCACAUUUAUAUUUUUCUUUAUAUUUAAACAUUUUUUGUUUUGGUCGAUAAAUUGCUACGUCCAAAUUAUACAGUUUAUUCAACUGUGAACUAUUGAAAACCUUUUAGCAAAAAAAAAACUAUUGAAAAUCUUGAUCCACUGAUUAUAACACAUGCUAUGUUUAGUAAGGCAUAUCCCUGAAUAAGAGUCUUGGCAUUAUUCAGUUAAAAAAAAGAUUCUUGGCAUAGAAAUAUGAUUGUAAGCCAUAUAAA